rnacentral:rRNA from 1 species
AUUGAACGCUGGCGGCAGGCCUAACACAUGCAAGUCGAACGCGUGGCGGACGGGUGAGUAAUGUCUGGGAAACUGCAUGAUGGAGGGGGAUAACUACUGGAAACGGUAGCUCAUACCGCAUACCAUCAGAUGUGCCCAGAGGGGUUUAGCUAGUGGGUGGGGUAACGGCUCACAAAGGCGACGACCCCUAGGGGGUCUGAGAGGAUGACCAGCCACCCGGGAACUGAGACACGGUCCAGACUCCUACGGGAGGCAGCAGUGGGGAAUAUUGCACAAUGGGCGCAAGCCUGAUGCAGCGAUGCCGCGUGUAUGAAGAAGGCCUUCGGGUUGUAAAGUACUUUCAGCGGGGAGGCGUUACCCGCAGAAGAAGCACCGGCUAACUCCGUGCCAGCAGCCGCGGUAAUUC